UAUUUGUUUUUUCUUUUCUUUGUGUGUAGGAGCAUUUAUGGAGAUAUUUGACAAUUCAUAUGCGAAAUGCAGGUUGGCUUGGGUUUCUCUGUUCGAACCAGGCAAUGACUUUUGCUGUCACCUUUUCUAAUUUGGCAGCUACCUUAAUUGUUGGCAUCUACCAGAAAAUCAUUGUUUACUUUUUGUCAGAUUAGAAGAAAAGCUCUUGGACAUGGCACUAGCAUCUCAAUCUCAGUGACUCAACUUGUUGCAGGAGCUAUUCGCCGAUAUAGCUUUAGAGGUUGAUGUUCGAGCUAGGGAUGACUGUAAUGUGUUCAACCAGAUCCAACCCAAAAAGGAGUCAUCUUUGCUCAAGGCAAUUGAUUUUGGGUUGUCUGUAUUCUUUUAACCUGGUAAGGCCUUGGGAUUCCUUGCUUGUAACUAUCUAUCACUAUGGAUGAUUCAUCCUCCAUUCAUUAGCUGUCAUUCUGAAAUGUUUUUCAUGCAAUUUGUGUUAUUCUGUUGGGAGAUUUUAGCAUUGAAACUUUGGGGAUUUUCUACAGGGGAGCGGUUUACGGAGAUA